rnacentral:misc_RNA from 1 species
AAGUCGUAACAAGGUUUCCGUAGGUGAACCUGCGGAAGGAUCAUUAUAGUAUCUUGCUGCCUGCGCUUAACUGCGCGGCGGUACACCUUUACACACUUGUUUAUCAGUGAUAUUUGCUUUGUCGCUUUUGCGGCAGAGAUUACAAACUACUAAGUUUUACUACUUAUUUUAACCUAGUCAUGAAAUUUUACUAAAAAUAAAAAUAUUCAAAACUUUCAACAACGGAUCUCUUGGUUCUC